rnacentral:sRNA from 1 species
UACAACCUAUCGGCUAAAAAGGGCGGUCGGCUAGUCUCCCGGAUGGGAGGUGAUGCCCAUGACAGUGUAUGAAGCCAUAAGCUUAAUGCUUGCUUUCGGGACGUUAAUCGUCACGCUGUUGUCGUUUAAUAAACGAAAAUAGACCGCCCAGUCGCAAGGAAUCGGUCUAUUUUCUGGUUUGCCUUGCAGCCGACCGCUCUUUUAGCGGUGUUGUGCAGGGGAGUCGUGUGUCCAGCACGGCUC